ensembl:ncRNA W05E10.14 ncRNA
AGCUGCACAUGUUUUAAAGUGUCUCUAGGAUCUUAGGCUUAUGUCGUAAUAUUUGGAUAACAGGAGGAUAAGUGGUACAAAUGUCUACUACACGCCCCAAAUUGGUGGUGACACCGGUGUUGAGUGCUUGGUU